rnacentral:rRNA from 1 species
CCUACGGGUGGCUGCAGUGGGGAAUAUUGCACAAUGGGGGAAACCCUGAUGCAGCGACGCCGCGUGAAGGAAGAAGGAUUUCGGUAUGUAAACUUCUAGCAGCAGGGAAGAAAAUGACGGUACCUGACAAAGAAGCCCCGGCUAACUACGUGCAAGCAGCCGCGGUAAUAAGUAGGGGGCAAGCGUUAUCCGGAUUUACUGGGUGUAAAGGGAGCGUAGGCGGCGAUGCAAGUCAGAAGUGAAAGACCGGGGCUCAACUCUGGGACUGCUUUUGAAACUGUGUUGCUAGAUUGCAGGAGAGGUAAGUGGAAUUCCUAGUGUAGCGGUGAAAUGCGUAGAGAUUAGGAGGAACACCAGUGGCGAAGGCGGCUUACUGGACUAUAAAUGACGCUGAGGCUCGAAAGCGUGGGGAGCAAACAGGAUUAGAUACCCCUGUAGUC